AUCCAGCUGACGAGUCCCAGAUUGGACGAAGUGACGUGCAUCCUGGAU
rnacentral:hammerhead_ribozyme from 1 species